rnacentral:rRNA from 1 species
GUCGAGAAUCUUUCACAAUGGGGGCAACCCUGAUGGAGCGACGCCGCGUGGAGGAUAAGGUCUUCGGAUUGUAAACUCCUGUCAUGCGUGAACAAGGUUGCUUGGUUAAUACCUGGGCAAAUUGAUGGUAACGCAAGAGGAAGAGACGGCUAACUCUGUGCCAGCAGCCGCGGUAAUACAGAGGUCUCAAGCGUUGUUCGGAAUCACUGGGCGUAAAGGGUGCGUAGGUGGCGUGGUAAGUCAGAUGUGAAAGCCCGGGGCUCAACCUCGGAACUGCAUCCGAUACUGCCAUGCUAGAGUACUGGAGAGGUGACUAGAAUUCUCGGUGUAGCAGUGAAAUGCGUAGAUAUCGAGAGGAAUACCAAAGGCGUAGGCAGGUCACUGGACAGUUACUGACACUGAGGCACGAAGGCCAGGGGAGCGAACGGGAUUAGAAACCCUAGUAGUCC